rnacentral:rRNA from 1 species
UCUGGUUGAUCCUGCCGGACCGACUGCUAUCGGAUUGAGAUUAGCCAUGCGAGUCGAACGUCCUCCUGUUGCGGGGGGCGUGGCGUACGGCUCAGUAACACGUAGUCAACCUGCCCUGGAGACACGGACAACCCCGGGAAACUGGGAUUAAUCCGUGAUAGGUCAUCCCAUCUGGAAGGAGGGAUGGCUCAAAGGGGUGCGCGGGCUUCUUCCGUGCAUUCGCUCCAGGAUGGGACUGCGUCCGAUCAGGCUGUUGGCGGGGUAAUGGCCACCAAACCUGGUUUAACCGGUACGGGCCUUGAUAGAGGUGGCCCGGAGAUGGACACUGAGAGAAGGGUCCAGGUCCUACGGGGCGCAGCAGGCGCGAAACCUUCGCAAUGCGCGAAAGCGUGACGAGGUUAAUCCGAGUGGUCCCCGCUGAGGGGAUCUUUUGUCGGCUGUAAAAAGGCCGGCGAAUAAGGGGAGGGCAAGUCUGGUGUCGGCCGCCGCGGUAAUACCAGCUCCUCGAGUGGUCGGGGCGAUUAUUGGGCCUAAAGCAUCCGUAGCCGGUUCCGUAGGUCUUCUGUAAAUCCAGGCGUUUACGGUUGGGCGCGAGAAACCGGGGACUAGAGGCGGAGAGGGGCGGGACCGGGUGAGGGUAAAUCUUGAUCGGAAGACCCAGUGCAAGCGCCACGAAGGGUCGCGGGAGUGAGUGGGGGGACCGGU